GACGAACGCUGGCGGCGUGCUUAACACAUGCAAGUCGAACGGAAAGGCCCUGCUUUUGUGGGGUGCUCGAGUGGCGAACGGGUGAGUAACACGUGAGUAACCUGCCCUUGACUUUGGGAUAACUUCAGGAAACUGGGGCUAAUACCGGAUAGGAGCUCCUGCUGCAUGGUGGGGGUUGGAAAGUUUCGGCGGUUGGGGAUGGACUCGCGGCUUAUCAGCUUGUUGGUGGGGUAGUGGCUUACCAAGGCUUUGACGGGUAGCCGGCCUGAGAGGGUGACCGGCCACAUUGGGACUGAGAUACGGCCCAGACUCCUACGGGAGGCAGCAGCGGGGAAUAUUGCACAAUGGGCGGAAGCCUGAUGCAGUAACGCCGCGUGCGGGAUGACGGCCUUCGGGUUGUAAACCGCUUUCGCCUGUGACGAAGCGUGAGUGACGGUAAUGGGUAAAGAAGCACCGGCUAACUACGUG
rnacentral:rRNA from 1 species